GGGGAGAAUGAGACAAAAUAUAAUUUAUAUUGUUAUAUAAAUAUUUUGUGUAUAUUAUUGAUAUUCAUGAAUGUUUAUAAUAUUAAUAUGACAUAAGUUAAAAUAUUUAUAUUGAAUUGAUUGUAAAUUUAAUUUAAGAAAUGUUUUUAUUAAUUUUUAAAAAGACAUGGAAAACAUAAAAUUAUGAGUAAUUAUUACUUCAUUAAUUUUGGAAAAGACAAAGAUUACUUAAAAGUAGGUUCAUUUAAUUAUUUCAGUGGCAUUAAACUGUAAAUAUUGUGCAAGUUUAAGGGUUAGUCUUAAUUUGUACUUCUGUUUUAAUAGAUUAGAUAUUUCAUGUUUAAUAUAUAGAAGAUAGU
rnacentral:lncRNA from 1 species